rnacentral:rRNA from 1 species
UUGCACGCUGGCGGCAUGCCUUACACAUGCAAGUCGAACGGCAGCAUGAUCUAGCUUGCUAGAUUGAUGGCGAGUGGCGAACGGGUGAGUAAUACAUCGGAACGUGCCCUGUAGUGGGGGAUAACUAGUCGAAAGAUUAGCUAAUACCGCAUACGACCUGAGGGUGAAAGUGGGGGACCGCAAGGCCUCAUGCUAUAGGAGCGGCCGAUGUCUGAUUAGCUAGUUGGUGAGGUAAAGGCUCACCAAGGCGACGAUCAGUAGCUGGUCUGAGAGGACGAUCAGCCACACUGGGACUGAGACACGGCCCAGACUCCUACGGGAGGCAGCAGUGGGGAAUUUUGGACAAUGGGCGAAAGCCUGAUCCAGCAAUGCCGCGUGUGUGAAGAAGGCCUUCGGGUUGCAAAGCACUUUUGUCCGGAAAGAAAUGGCUCUGGUUAAUACCUGGGGUCGAUGACGGUACCGGAAGAAUAAGGACCGGCUAACUACGUG